UUCCUGGUGGUCCAGUGGUUAGGACUCCGCCCUUUUAUGGCUGAGGGCCUGGGUUCAAACCCUGGUUGGGGAA